AUGGGCGGCUGUUCUUCUUCCCGCCACAAGAUGGAAGCCAUGUACCGUGAAAAUGGAGCAACACACCUUGUGAACAUGAGCAGCCAAGCAUCAGAGCGGUACCCUCCUACUCCUCGCUGUUCUGUCAAGAUAAAGCCAAGCCAGCGGGGCCGGGACGACGUGCUGCGUUUGGAGGCUUGAUUAUGCCGUGUGGCAGACUGAGAGAGGCGUUUGGAGACACUUCAGCAGACUGAUCACUGCUGGGCCUCUACAGGCUGUGUGUUUGCUGUCCAGCAGCCGAGCGUUGCCGACAGAACUGCUUCCUUGUUCACUGGCGACACUUAAAACGCCCCCCUGGAUUGACCGAGCUCUCUGUGGGGAGAGGGAGAAGAUAAGGAGGGAAUUGGUGAAGAGAGCAGUGGGACGCAACAAAGGAUAGAAGAAGAAAGACAGAAAAGUACACAUAGGACAGACAGAUGUUAGGAAGGCAUGAACAGAGGAACAUACUGCAGUUACCUGAGGUUUGUUAGUGUAAUGCACCUUUUAUAAAAGCAGAAGGACGUUCUUCUUUACUUUCAUUUGAUUCUUCUUUCUGUGAUUCAUCGGAGUCCAACUAUACUACAUGCAGCCUUUUCAGAGCAGUGAGCAAUGCUGACUUCUUAAACUCUGCUGUUUAUCAGAUUGUUUCUGUCAUCACUUUCCUGCUCUCUACAUCAUUGGAGUCACUGGCGUGUUUGUGGAUGAGUCUUUUGCAGCACUAAACAGUGGCAGGCAUCGUCCGUCUGGCUCCCUGCGCUGGUGCUUGCGAUUUUUAGAAGUCACACAACGCUGAUUGCCAAUAAUGAUGAGCUGGCGAAGAGAGGCGGAGGGAGAGAUGAGGUGGUGAUUGCUGCUACUGUGUGUGAGUCGAUAAUGGAGAAUAUAUGUCAUGUGCCAUUAUGUAUCUUACUGUGUGCCUGCAACCCAUAUGCUAAUUAAUGCUGAUUUAUGCCUCAUUAUGUUGAUUUAUAACGGGGAUACAGGAGUGCUGUUGACUGACUGUAGAAAAAAAGAGUUGGCUCCAUUAAAAGACACGAUAGUAGUGUAACUCUCUAUCACUGUUUUCAGGACAGCUCAGUGAAGCUUUGCUUCAUUGUUUAUAAAGAAUUCUACUCAUAGAAAUGUUUGGCUGGUAAUAAAUCUGUAUCAUAAAAAUUUGAUACUCUACCAUUAAAGGACCAACAUGGUAACUUUGCACGAUUUAGCCCAUUGACUGCAAAUCAUGUAUAUUUAACAUUACUGUUGGCCAUUUUCUAACCGAUAACUUUGAUUUCCUACUUUACAAUCCAUCACAGUGAA